GACGAACGCUGGCGGCGUGCCUAAUACAUGCAAGUUGAGCGCUGAAGGUUGGUACUUGUACCAACUGGAUGAGCAGCGAACGGGUGAGUAACGCGUGGGGAAUCUUCCUUUGAGCGGGGGACAACAUUUGGAAACGAAUGCUAAUACCGCAUAAAAACUUUAAACACAAGUUUUAAGUUUGAAAGAUGCAAUUGCAUCACUCAAAGAUGAUCCCGCGUUGUAUUAGCUAGUUGGUGAGGUAAAGGCUCACCAAGGCGAUGAUACAUAGCCGACCUGAGAGGGUGAUCGGCCACAUUGGGACUGAGACACGGCCCAAACUCCUACGGGAGGCAGCAGUAGGGAAUCUUCGGCAAUGGACGAAAGGCUGACCGAGCAACGCCGCGUGAGUGAAGAAGGUUUUCGGAUCGUAAAACUCUGUUGGUAGAGAAGAACGUUGGUGAGAGUGGAAAGCUCAUCAAGUGACGGUAACUACCCAGAAAGGGACGGCUAACUACGUG
rnacentral:rRNA from 1 species